CUCUGGCUCAGGAUGAACGCUGGCGGCGUGCUUAACACAUGCAAGUCGAACGAUGAAGCCCAGCUUGCUGGGUGGAUUAGUGGCGAACGGGUGAGUAACACGUGAGUAACCUGCCCUUAACUCUGGGAUAAGCCUGGGAAACUGGGUCUAAUACCGGAUAGGAGCGUCCACCGCAUGGUGGGUGUUGGAAAGAUUUAUCGGUUUUGGAUGGACUCGCGGCCUAUCAGCUUGUUGGUGAGGUAAUGGCUCACCAAGGCGACGACGGGUAGCCGGCCUGAGAGGGUGACCGGCCACACUGGGACUGAGACACGGCCCAGACUCCUACGGGAGGCAGCAGUGGGGAAUAUUGCACAAUGGGCGCAAGCCUGAUGCAGCGACGCCGCGUGAGGGAUGACGGCCUUCGGGUUGUAAACCUCUUUCAGUAGGGAAGAAGCGAAAGUGACGGUACCUGCAGAAGAAGCACCGGCUAACUACGUGCCAGCAGCCGCGGUAAUACGUAGGGUGCGAGCGUUAUCCGGAAUUAUUGGGCGUAAAGAGCUCGUAGGCGGUUUGUCGCGUCUGUCGUGAAAGUCCGGGGCUUAACCCCGGAUCUGCGGUGGGUACGGGCAGACUAGAGUGCAGUAGGGGAGACUGGAAUUCCUGGUGUAGCGGUGGAAUGCGCAGAUAUCAGGAGGAACACCGAUGGCGAAGGCAGGUCUCUGGGCUGUAACUGACGCUGAAGAGCCGAAAGCAUGGGGAGCGAACAGGAUUAGAUACCCUGGUAGUCCAUGCCGUAAACGUUGGGCACUAGGUGUGGGGACCAUUCCACGGUUUCCGCGCCGCAGCUAACGCAUUAAGUGCCCCGCCUGGGGAGUACGGCCGCAAGGCUAAAACUCAAAGGAAUUGACGGGGGCCCGCACAAGCGGCGGAGCAUGCGGAUUAAUUCGAUGCAACGCGAAGAACCUUACCAAGGCUUGACAUGUUCUCGAUCGCCGUAGAGAUACGGUUUCCCCUUUGGGGCGGGUUCACAGGUGGUGCAUGGUUGUCGUCAGCUCGUGUCGUGAGAUGUUGGGUUAAGUCCCGCAACGAGCGCAACCCUCGUUCCAUGUUGCCAGCACGUAAUGGUGGGGACUCAUGGGAGACUGCCGGGGUCAACUCGGAGGAAGGUGAGGACGACGUCAAAUCAUCAUGCCCCUUAUGUCUUGGGCUUCACGCAUGCUACAAUGGCCGGUACAAUGGGUUGCGAUACUGUGAGGUGGAGCUAAUCCCAAAAAGCCGGUCUCAGUUCGGAUUGGGGUCUGCAACUCGACCCCAUGAAGUCGGAGUCGCUAGUAAUCGCAGAUCAGCAACGCUGCGGUGAAUACGUUCCCGGGCCUUGUACACACCGCCCGUCAAGUCACGAAAGUUGGUAACACCCGAAGCCGGUGGCCUAACCCUUGUGGGGGAGCCGUCGAAGUG
rnacentral:rRNA from 1 species